CAAUAGCGUAUAUUGAAGUUGUUGCGGUUAAAAAGCUCGUCGUUGGAUUUCUGUUGAGGUCGAACAGUGCCGCCCUAUGGGUGCGCAACUGUCUCGGCUUCGGCAUCUUCUUGGAGAGCGCAUCUGCACUUAACUGUGUGGAUCGUACUUCAAGUCAGUUACUUUGAGGAAUUGUGAGUGUUUCAAGCAGGCUUACGCCGUUGAAUCCGUUAGCAUGGAAUAAUAGGAUAGGACCUCGGUUCUAUUUUGUUGGUUUUGAGAGCUGGGGCAGCGAUUGAUAGGGACGGAUGGGGGCGUCCGAACUUUACUGUCAGAGGUGAAAUUCUUAGAUCGGUCAAAGGCGAACUACUGCGAACGCAUUCGCCAAGAAUGUUUUCUUUAA
rnacentral:rRNA from 1 species